CCUACGGGUGGCAGCAGUCGAGAAUCAUUCACAAUGGGGGAAACCCUGAUGCUGCGACGCCGCGUGGGGGAAUGAAGGUCUUCGGAUUGUAAACUCCUGUCAUGUGGGAGUAAAUUAAAAAGCUAGUACCACAAGAGGAAGCGACGGCUAACUCUGUGCCAGCAGCCGCGGUAAUACAGAGGUCUCAAGCGUUGUUCGGAAUCACUGGGCGUAAAGUGUGCGUAGGCGGUUUCGGAAGUCGGGUGUGAAAGGCGCGGGCUCAACCCGCGGACGGCACAUGAUACUGCGAGACUAGAGUAAUGGAGGGGGAAGCGGAAUGCUCGGUGUAGCAGUGAAAUGCGUAGAUA
rnacentral:rRNA from 1 species